rnacentral:rRNA from 1 species
CCUACGGGGGGCAGCAGUGGGGAAUUUUGGACAAUGGGCGCAAGCCUGAUCCAGCAAUGCCGCGUGAGUGAAGAAGGCCUUCGGGUUGUAAAGCUCUUUCAGUCGAGAAGAAAAGGUUGUGACUAAUAAUCAUAACUCAUGACGGUAUCGACAGAAGAAGCACCGGCUAACUACGUGCCAGCAGCCGCGGUAAUACGUAGGGUGCGAGCGUUAAUCGGAAUUACUGGGCGUAAAGGGUGCGCAGGCGGUUAUGUAAGUCAGAUGUGAAAUCCCCGGGCUUAACCUGGGAACUGCGUUUGAAACUACAGAACUAGAGUGUGGCAGAGGGGGGUGGAAUUCCAUGUGUAGCAGUGAAAUGCGUAGAGAUAUGGAAGAACAUCGAUGGCGAAGGCAGCCCCCUGGGUUAACACUGACGCUCAUGCACGAAAGCGUGGGGAGCAAACAGGAUUAGAUACCCCUGUAGUC